rnacentral:rRNA from 1 species
AUGGAUACCGGUGCAACAAAUCAUAUCACGGUUGAAUUGGAGAAGCUAACAAUGCAUGAGAAGUAUCAUGGCAAUGAUCAAGUCUACACUGCGGCAAACGGUGCAGGUAUGGAGAUAAGUCAUAUUGGUCAAUCACAUAUCAAAACCCCAUACAAAAACCUUGAAAUAAAAGAUAUCUUGCAUGUGCCUAAUGCUUCCAAAACUCUCUUAUCUGUUCAUCGCAUUGCCCUUGAUAACAAUGUCUUUCUAAAAUUUCACCCUUUCUUCUUUUUGAUCAAGGAUCAGGUCACGAAGGAAAUUCUCCAUAGGGGUGUCUGUGUGGAAGGACUCUAUGCAUUACUUCCUAAGUAUUGCUCAUACAAUAAAAGAGUUUAUGGUGCCAUCAAGCUUUCCGCUGAAAGGUGGCACAGUCGCUUAGGUCAUCCAUCAUUUGCUACUGUUCAUCAAAUCCUUAGUAGAAAUAAGCUCCCGGUUGUUGGUGAGAGAAAUUUAGAGACUGUUUGUGAUUCAUGCCAGCGAGCAAAAAGUCAUCAACUGCCAUAUCCUGUAUCCACUAGUGUGUCAACCAAGCCCUCGCAGCUUAUCUUUUCUGAUGUAUGGGGUCCAGCCCCUACUUCUGAUGGUCGACAUUCUUACUAUGUAAGCUUUAUUGAUGAUUUUAGUAAGUACGCAUGGAUCUAUUUGCUCAAAAAGCGUUCUGAUGUCUUUCAAGUGUUUCACAACUUUCAAGCUCUUGUAGAACACAAGUUUGAUAGUAAAAUCAUUGCUAUGCAAUCUGAUUGGGGUGGGGAAUACGAGAAUCUCAAUUCUUUUUUUCAAAAGAUUGGCAUUUCUCAUCAUGUCUCAUGCCCCCACGCGCACCAGCAAAAUGGGUCAGCCGAACGCAAACACCGCCACAUCAUUGAAGUAGGACUAGCUCUCCUUGCUUCCGCCUCCAUGCCACUAAAAUUUUGGGAUGAAGCGUUUCUUACCGCUGUGCAUCUCAUCAACAUGUGGCCUAGUCGUGUCAUCUCUAACGAGACCCCCACUGAGCGUCUUUUGCAUAUCACACCGGACUACACCACUCUUCGAGUCUUUGGUUGCGCAUGUUGGCCCAAUCUUCGUCCUUAUAACACUCGUAAACUUAUGUUUCGUUCCAAGCAAUGUGUGUUUCUUGGAUACAGUGCUCAACAUAAGGGUGUUAAAUGUAUUGAUGUUGCGAUUGUUCGCGUCUAUAUUUCUCGUGAUGUGGUAUUUGAUGAAACACAAUUUCCUUUUGCCUCACUCCAUCCUAAUGCCGGUGCUCUCCUUCGCAAAGAGAUCCUUCUGUUUCCUUCUCAUCUUUCUGGAGUUGAUCGUAUGGGUAAUGAUAACUGA